ACAGACAUAGAACAGAUAAAGAUCAUAUAAUGAUUAUUAUAAACAUGUAGACAUAGAACAGAUAAAGAUCAUCCAAUGAUUAUUAAUAACCACAAACAUGACACUUUAAUGUUACAUUUAAUUGUAGUUAAAUGUAAUGAAAAUAGUAAGAACUAGCAGUACAACCUUUAAAUGGUGUGUGUGUGUGUGUGUGUGUGUGUGUUGCAGCUCUGCAGAUUCAGAACCAUCAGCGUAGACAGAAGCUGGACCUGGUCUUGUCUCACUCCUUCAACCAGUGGCAGGCCUGCCUGGAAGUUGGCAUCCAGCUGAACCAGCUGCUGGGCUUCCCCUUACCUGAGCCCCAGAUCUCCAGGUUGUGUGAGGGGACGGUGGUCCACCAGCUGGUCCACAGCAUGCAGUCUGGAG